AGAGUUUGAUCAUGGCUCAGAAUCAACGCUGGCGGCGCGCCUAACACAUGCAAGUCGAACGAGAAAGUGGAGCAAUCCAUGAGUACAGUGGCGUACGGGUGAGUAACACGUGGAUCAUCUGCCCUGGAGUGGGGAAUAACGCUGGGAAACCGGCGCUAAUACCGCAUAUUCCCGAGAGGGGAAAGCAGCAAUGCGCUCGAGGAGGAGUCCGCGGCCGAUUAGCUAGUUGGCAGGGUAAAAGCCUACCAAGGCUGUGAUCGGUAGCCGGCCUGAGAGGGCACACGGCCACACUGGCACUGAAACACGGGCCAGACUCCUACGGGAGGCAGCAGUGGGGAAUCUUGCACAAUGGGGGAAACCCUGAUGCAGCGACGCCGCGUGAGCGAUGAAGCCCUUCGGGGUGUAAAGCUCUUUCGGCAGGGACGAUUAUGACGGUACCUGCAGAAGCAGCUGCGGCUAACUACGUGCCAGCAGCCGCGGUAAUACGUAGGCAGCAAGCGUUGUUCGGAGUUACUGGGCGUAAAGGGUGUGUAGGCGGCCUGUUAAGUUCCGUGUGAAAUCUCCCGGCUCAACUGGGAGGGUGCGCGGAAAACUGGCGGGCUAGAGUGCGGGAUGGGAGAGUAGAAUUCCUGGUGUAGCGGUGAAAUGCGUAGAUAUCAGGAGGAAUACCGGUGGUGUAGACGGCUCUCUGGACCGUAACUGACGCUGAGACACGAAAGCGUGGGUAGCAAACAGGAUUAGAUACCCUGGUAGUCCACGCCCUAAACGAUGCAUAUUUGGUGUAGGUCAUUCA
rnacentral:rRNA from 1 species